rnacentral:lncRNA from 1 species
UCUAAGCUAAAAAGUAUCUUACUCUAAAUCCUUUCUUUACUCGAGGACGAGCAAAGUUCAAAUUAGGAGGUGUGAUCAAUACAUUAAUGUAACAUAAAAAGCAUUAAAAUCCUUGAUGAUUGUUCUCUAUUAUUUAGAAUUUGAUACUUUUUAUGAUUGUUUCAGAAAUUAUGGACCAAUCACACUCCAAUCUACAAAAGUCAUAUAUUUGCAGUUAACAAGCCCGUAACGUGCAAGCCUGAGUCUUCAUUUCGAGAUCUCUAUACGGAAUGCACGCGGAGCAGAUGUGCGCUGGACACAGAUCACGCAAGAUUAAAAGCCAAAGAGAUAAAGUUGAGAGAUGAGAUGAGAUUUUGAGAUGAGGG